AUUCCAGCUCCAAUAGCGUAUAUUAAAGUUGUUGCAGUUAAAAAGCUCGUAGUUGGAUUUCUGAUAGGGAGCCGAUCACCACUGUUGUGAGUGUUAGGUACCUGUCAUCCUUCUGUUAACCCCUGCGGCAUUCAUUUGUCGUUGGGCGGACCAGGUACUUUACCUUGAGAAAAUUAGAGUGUUUCAGGCAGGCCUAGCCGGAAUACAUUAGCAUGGAAUAAUGGAAUAGGACUAUGGUCUCGUCGUUGGUUACGUGGACUGCAGUAAUGAUUAAUAGGGAUAGUUGGGGGCAUUAGUAUUUAUUAGCUAGAGGUGGAAUUCUCUAAUUUGAUAAAGACUAACUUAUGCGAAAGCAUUUGCCAAGGAUGUUUUCAUCA
rnacentral:rRNA from 1 species